GGCCCCGUAGCUCAAUUGGAUAGAGCGCAGCCCUGCGAAGGCUGAGGUUGGUGGUUCGAGUCCACUCGGGGUCG
rnacentral:tRNA from 1 species